rnacentral:rRNA from 1 species
AACGAACGCUGGCGGCACGUUUUAAGCAUGCAAGUCGAAUGGCAGCAGGGGCAACUCUGUGAGAAUGGCGAACGGGUGAGUAACACGUAGGUGAUCUGCCUGACGGUUGGGGAUAGCUUGUGGAAACACAGGGUAAUACCGAAUAAGCUGACACGGCUUUGGCUGAGUUAGUAAAGGUGCUACGGCACCGCCGACAGAGGAGCCUGCGGCUGAUUAGCUAGUUGGUGGGGUAAAGGCCUACCAAGGCGACGAUCAGUAGCCGGCCUGAGAGGGGGUACGGCCACACUGGGACUGGGACACGGCCCAGACUCCUACGGGAGGCAGCAGCUAAGAAUCUUCCGCAAUGGGCGAAAGCCUGACGGAGCGAUGCCGCGUGAUCGAUGAAGGUCGAGAGAUUGUAAAGAUCUUUUCCACAUGAGGAAUAAGGUUCGGAGGGAAUGCCGGACUGAUGACGUUAGUGUGGGAAUAAGCCCCGGCUAAUUACGUGCCAGCAGCCGCAGUAA